rnacentral:rRNA from 1 species
AACGAACGCUGGCGGCAGGCCUAACACAUGCAAGUCGAGCGAGGACUUCGGUCCUAGCGGCGGACGGGUGAGUAACGCGUGGGAACGUGCCCUUUGGUACGGAAUAGCCCCGGGAAACUGGGAGUAAUACCGUAUGGUGUCUUCGGACUAAAGAUUUAUCGCCAAAGGAUCGGCCCGCGUUGGAUUAGGUAGUUGGUGGGGUAAUGGCCUACCAAGCCGACGAUCCAUAGCUGGUUUGAGAGGAUGAUCAGCCACACUGGGACUGAGACACGGCCCAGACUCCUACGGGAGGCAGCAGUGGGGAAUCUUAGACAAUGGGGGCAACCCUGAUCUAGCCAUGCCGCGUGAGUGAUGAAGGCCCUAGGGUUGUAAAGCUCUUUCAGCUGGGAAGAUAAUGACGGUACCAGCAGAAGAAGCCCCGGNUAACUCCGUGCCAGCAGCCGCGGUAAAGUCAGUG